GCACCCACAGGAAACCACCACACGUUUCCUUAAAUUCAGGGUCCUGCUCACAUGGGAAAUGCUUUCUGAGAGUCAUGGACCUCACAUGCAAGAGCAUGAAACACCUGUGGUUUUUCCUCCUCCUGGUGGCAGCUCCCAGACGUGUCCUGUCCCAGGUGCAGCUGCAGCAGUGGGGCCCAGGACUGGUGAAGCCUUCGGAGACCCUGUCCCUCACCUGCGAUAUCUAUGGUUACUCCAUCAGUAGUGGUUACUGGUGGAGCUGGAUCCGCCAGCCUCCAGGGAAGGGGCUGGAGUGGAUUGGGAGAAUCUAUUAUAGUGGGAGCACCUACUACAACCCAUCCCUCAAGAGUCGAGUCACCAUAUCAGCAGACCCGUCCAAGAACCAGUUCUCCCUGAGGCUGAACUCUGUGACCGCGGCGGACACGGCCGUGUAUUACUGUGCGAGACACAGUGAGGGGAGGUGAGUGUGAGCCCAGACACAAACCUCCCUGCAGGGAGGCGGCGGGGUGGGCACAGGUGCUGCUCAGGACCAGCAGGGGGUGCGCAGGGCCCACAGAGCCCGAGGCCGGGUCUGGAGCACGUGCAGGGAGAGCAGGGCUUCCUCAUCUGCUCAGUGGGCUCCCUCCCCGCCAGCACUGGAGCUGUGUCCAGGGCUCCUUUCUUUAUUAUCUGUGGUUCUGCUUCCUCACAUCCUUGUGCCAGCAAAGAAAGGAGGAAGACAUUUUUCUCUUACAGUUGAAGUUUCAACAAUUACUAGGAACUUUCUUACAUGUUACUGCAUGACCCAUUACAAACCUUACUGAUUUUAAAAAAUGCUAAUUCUUC